UUAUCGAAGAAGAAUAUGAGGAGAGUCUUCGGCGUUAAGAAAGAUAAAGAACCUCCUCCUUCUAUUCAAGAUGCUUCUGAUAGGAUUAAUAAGAGGGGCGACUCAGUGGAAGAAAAGAUC